rnacentral:rRNA from 1 species
AGAGUUUGAUCCUGGCUCAGGAUGAACGCUAGCUACAGGCUUAACACAUGCAAGUCGAGGGGCAGCAUGGUCUUAGCUUGCUAAGGCUGAUGGCGACCGGCGCACGGGUGAGUAACACGUAUCCAACCUGCCGUCUACUCUUGGACAGCCUUCUGAAAGGAAGAUUAAUACAAGAUGGCAUCAUGAGUCCGCAUGUUCACAUGAUUAAAGGUAUUCCGGUAGACGAUGGGGAUGCGUUCCAUUAGAUAGUAGGCGGGGUAACGGCCCACCUAGUCUUCGAUGGAUAGGGGUUCUGAGAGGAGGUCCCCCANAUUGGAACUGAGACACGGUCCAAACUCCUACGGGAGGCA